GUAUAAGCUGAAAUUUCAGUUUUGUUAGUUGUUAGUAGUGUUCUUGGAAUUCAGCUGGCAUCUUUGAUUUGUUAGCAGUAAAAUUAGAGGCUUGGAGUAGAUCAAUUUCGAAAUUGAUGAUUCAUGACCAGAGUUGGGGAGUUAGGAUGCUGCCCAUAUCUUCCUUGAGCUGGAAUUGAAGGUUAGUGGCUUUAAUUUUAAAGUUUGAUCAAGAUUGGUUCAAUGCUGAAAUUUCAGGCAGAUUUCGUCCACUGUUGGAAUUCAUUAAAGUUCGUUCAAAUUUUCUAUAGGAGCUGAGCUUUCGAAAAAGUUGGAAGUGAUCUUGACUUCGUCCUCUGCUGUGUAGAAUCUUGUUUCGAUCAAUUCGGAGGUUUUUCUUGUAGUGAAAAGGCCUAAGAUCACUUGUGAACAAGUCCCAAUUGCCAAUUUUGCUGUUGAUUGGUUGGUGGAGCAAGAAUGAAGUGCAACUUAGUGCUGGCAGCUUAGAAGCCAGCAGCAGCUUUGAGAUAGCAGCAGCAACAGCCUUGGAGCAGGGACAGCAGCAACUAGUUUUGGAAAUUAGUUUCGAUUUGGACCUUAUUGCUGCAAUUGGAUGCUUCUUGGGUGUUCCUGAGGUAGAGAGGAACCUGCGAAUCAAGUUGCAACUAUUGGUUUGAGGGAUUUGUUGGAUUUUCUUAUACUUGUUGGUGAUUUGGGACUAAAGGCAC